rnacentral:lncRNA from 1 species
UUAUUUUUUCUUUGGUUCUGGGGAUUGAACCCAGGACAUUAUACAAGCUAGGCAAGCACUCUACCAACUGAGUUACAUCCCCAGCCCAGCUUUCUUUAUAUUUUGACAGUCUUAGUGAAGCCACCCUCAUCUUUGGUGGAUCAAGUGGUCCUUUCAAAUAUGUUUAUUCUGCAUCCCUUCCUUUUCCUGCUAGUCUGAUGUCUUUUAAGUUCCUUAUUCCUGAUUUAGACCCACUGGGAGACAUUUGGGCCAUGACAUUUUGUUUGUAAUGCUUAGAUCUGACCAGUCUCCACCAAAGCGGGCACUCACUUUGUCUGAUUUCUACUAGGUCCCUGGUGUGUGUCCAAGAGUCCCCAUUUUCUGGUUGAGGAGGUUUGGAUGGAGCAGCAGACAGUGGCUUUUCUUUUCCCUUCUAUCUUCUUCCUGCCAAUCUAUACCUGAAUCUGCAUAGCUUUCCUUUUAGAAUAUGAGUGACAGCUGACAUGUUCAUUCAUGGUUAAUCUAAGUUGGUCUUAAAUGUGAUUUCUGUUGUGUACAGCUCUGGCUUCAUUAGGCAUGGAGUUCACCUGGGUUGGUGAUUCACCACCUGUCUGCAGCAUUCCACCUCUGUGGAAUUCAGUAGAGCAAACAUAAUGGGAAAGGGGUUGUUUCUCCUUCAGUCCUUUGUUUACAUCAAGGAGCCAGUCUUGGUUUGAUACCAAUGUACCUUUGACACUCUGUGAUACUUCUUUAACAAAAGAAUGACAAGAGGGCUGGGCAUGUGGCUCAAGCGGUAGCACGCUCACCUGGCAUGCGUGGGGCGCUGGGUUCGAUCCUCAGCACCACAUAAAAAUAAAAUAAAGAGGUUGUGUCCACCAAAAACUAAAAAAUAUAUAUUAAAAAAAUUCUCUUUCUCUCUCUUUCUCUUUAAAAAAAAAAAAAGAAUGACAAGACCCUUGUUAGGCAGAAGUGUCCAACUAGAACUUAGUCACAUUGUUUUGUUUUGGUUGUAUACAUCUUUUUUAUUACCUUCUAUUUAAAGUGAGCAAUGCCUAUAAAAGGGAAGGAAAAGGUGUUUCUUUAAAGACUUAAUUUUUAAAAGUGAAGUAAUUAAAUAAAAAUAAUCAAGUAAGUAAUUGUAGGGGUUGGCAAAACUUGAGAGAUCGCAGAAUAAAAUGGUGUAAGAAUACAGUAAAAAGAGUCUUUGGGCAACACUUCAGAAACUGAGAGCCAGAAAUGACUGGAUGCAUCACUGUCUGCCAGGCUCCAUCCCUCCCCAUGGCGCUAGACUGUGAGCCUCAAGAGGGCUGAGACCAUGUCUCAGAGAUCUCACCAUUGGAUUGUGGAAACUAGUAGGUGCUCAAUAUUCACUGAUUAAAAUACAGGUGAAAGGAUAAUUAUGUACCUCAGGUCCCUUGAGAACACUGAGGAUUAGAGGAACAGGCAACUUUCCCAGGAUCUCAGACAUUUUGUGGCUGAAUUGUGGUUAUGGACCACACCUCCUUUUUUGAGUUCCUCUGCAUUCCCAGCCCUGAGCCCUUUUCUCUAGCUCCCACUGCUUUUUAGGGUACAACAGUUGUUAUCAGAUGUUGUGCACAGAGAGCAUUUAACUCCAUUUUUUUUGAAGUUGUAGAUGGACAUGAUACCUUUAUUUUAUUUAUUUUUAUGUGGUGCUGGGGAUCAAACCCAGUGCCUCACACUUGCUAGGCAUAUGAUCUACUACUGAGCUACAACCUCAGCCCUUAACUCCCAAUCUUCACAAGUGGUGGUUGUUCUUGAGUCAUUGACCCAUGACCUCUAUUUUAAGAGUGUCUUUUUUUGAGGGAAGGGGGUUGGGUAAACAGUGAUUGAACUCGGGGGCUCAACUACUGAGCCACAUCACCAGCCCUAUUUUGUAUUUUAUUUAGAGACAGGGUCUCACUGAGUUGCUUAGCAUCUCACUUUUGCUGAGGCUGGCUUUGAACCCACCGUCUUCCUGCCUCAGCCUCCUGCACCACUAAGAUUACAGGUGUGUGCCACCAUGCCUGGCCCUUAAGAUUGUCUCUUUUAAGCCCCAGUGCUUCUGUAUGCCCACUGAACUUNGAGGCAUCCUUGUGAGGAAGGAAGUGCUGCAUACUUUGAGGGAGGGCAGUAACUGGAACAUCUGUGUCCUCUCCACAGAUCAACAGUGGGCGCCCUGCUGGCAUCCGAGGUAACCUGUUCUAACAACUGUGUGUCCCAUUAUGUUCUUGUCCCUUUGCUUUCCCCCCUUUCUUCUGGCCUAUGGUGAUUUUGAACCAGACACCUCUGCAUGGCUUAGGAACCAUUGUAGCAAGUCAGUUUUUCUCCUUGGUAAUUAUGAAUAGUGG